UUGCAGUAUGGAAAAGAAUAUGAAUUCGACGCACCUGUCAAGCUAUUGGAGAAGCAUCUUCAUGCAAUGGCUCAAUCCGUGGACGAGCAGCUUGUUGUAGUUUCGCAGGUUCUUGUAUCUGACAUUAACAUUGGUUACGAAGAGAUUGUCAACACCCAGGUUGUCGCCUUUAAUGGCAAACC